CGCGUGAACCGCGUGCGAAGCCGACGACGGAACCCUAGGCGCUUAGUGGGACCAUUUUUGGUAAGCAGAACUGGCGCUGCGGGAUGAACCCGAACGCCGAGUUAAGGCGCCGAAAUCGACGCGUAUUCAGAGAUCAUGAAAGGCGUUGGUUGCUGAUGACAGCAGGACGGUGGCCAUGGAAGUCGGAAUCCGCUAAGGAGUGUGUAACAACUCACCUGCCGAAGCAACUAGCUCUGAAAAUGGAUGGCGCUGGAGCGUCGUGCCUAUACUCGGCCGUCGACGGCAUAGUGGGGCCAGUCGUCGCUCGCGGCGGCCGGUCCCGGCAAGCCUCGACGAGUAGGAUGGCGCGGCGGUGUGCGUCGAAGGGCAGGUCGCGAGACCGCCUGGAGCCGCCGUCGGUGCAGAUCUUGGUGGUAGUAGCAAAUACUCGAGAGGGGCCCUCGGGGGCUGCCGUGGAGAAGGGUUUCUUGUGAACAGCCGUUGUCCAAGAGUCAGUCGAUCCUAAGCCCGGGGAGAGAUCCUCGUACCACGGGCGAAGGCGUUUUCGAAUCGCCCUUGGGGCGAGAGGGAAUCCGGUUCGUAUUCCGGAACCCGACGCGGAACCGCUCCCUAGUGUUCGGGGCUCUUUUGUCUCGUCUGGGUAACCAGAAUGAACUCGAAGAAGCCGCCGGGGGAUCUGGGUAGAGUUCUCUUUUCUCUGUGAGCGUUGUACGUCCCUGGAAUCCUCUAGCCGGGCGAUAGGGACGCGAGCGCGAA
rnacentral:ncRNA from 1 species